rnacentral:rRNA from 1 species
UGGGGAAUCUUCCGCAAUGGACGAAAGUCUGACGGAGCAACGCCGCGUGUAUGAUGAAGGUCUUCGGAUUGUAAAGUACUGUCAUUGGGGAAGAACGGUUUUCUUGAAAAGAUUGAGAAGACAUGACGGUACCCAAGGAGGAAGCCCCGGCUAACUACGUGCCAGCAGCCGCGGUAAUACGUAGGGGGCAAGCGUUGUCCGGAAUUAUUGGGCGUAAAGGGCGCGUAGGCGGGCCUUUAAGUCCGGUGUGAAAGAUCAGGGCUCAACCCUGAGAGUGCAUCGGAAACUGGAGGCCUUGAGGACAGGAGAGGAAAGUGGAAUUCCACGUGUAGCGGUGAAAUGCGUAGAUAUGUGGAGGAACACCAGUGGCGAAGGCGACUUUCUGGACUGUAACUGACGCUGAGGCGCGAAAGCGUGGGGAGCAAACAGGAUUAGAUACCCUGGUAGUCCACGCCGUAAACGAUGAGUGCUAGGUGUAGAGGGUAUCGACCCCUUCUGUGCCGCAGUUAACACAAUAAGCACUCCGCCUGGGGAGUACGGCCGCAAGGUUGAAACUCAAAUGAAUUGACGGGGUCAUAGCUG